rnacentral:rRNA from 1 species
UACGGGGGCAGCAGUGGGGAUCUUGCACAAUGGAGGAACUCUGAUGCAGCGAUGCCGCGUGAGUGAAGAAGGCCUUUGGGUUGUAAAGCUCUUUCGUCGGGAAGAAAAUGACUGUACCCGAAUAAGAAGGUCCGGCUAACUUCGUGCCAGCAGCCGCGGUA